rnacentral:rRNA from 1 species
UACGUAGGGCGCAAGCGUUGUCCGGAAUCAUUGGGCGUAAAGAGCUCGUAGGCGGCCUGUCGCGUCCGCUGUGAAAUCCCGGGGCUUAACCCCGGGCGUGCAGUGGAUACGGGCUGGCUGGAGGCAGGCAGGGGAGAACGGAAUUCCCGGUGUAGCGGUGAAAUGCGCAGAUAUCGGGAGGAACGACCGGUGGCCGAAGGCGGUUCUCUGGGCCUG